rnacentral:rRNA from 1 species
AUUGAACGCUGGCGGCAGGCCUAACACAUGCAAGUCGAGCGAGCGGCGGACGGGUGAGUAAUGUAUGGGGACUGCCCGAUAGAGGGGGAUAACUACUGGAAACGGUGGCUAAUACCGCAUACUAUCGGAUAACCCAUAUGGGAUUAGCUAGUAGGGGGGGUAACGGCUCCCCUAGGCGACGAUCUCUAGCUGGUCUGUGAGGAUGAUCAGCGACACUGGGACUGAGACACGGCCCUAACUCCUACGGAGGCAGAAGGGGGGAAUAUGGGACAAUGGGCGCAAGCCUGAGGCACCGAUGCCGCGUGUAUGAAGAAGGCCUUAGGGUUGUAAAGUACUUUCAGCGGGGAGGCGUUACCCGCAGAAGAAGCACCGGCUAACUACGUGCCAGCAGCCGCGGUAAUAC